UGGUAGCAAURSCMUGAGAGCGGCGMACGGGUGAGUAACGCGUACACGACCUACCUYUGACWGGGGGAUAGCCCUGGGAAACUGGGAUUAAUACCGCAUAUWAUUCUGAUKARUAAAGRAUUGGAAUGAAAGUUCAGGCGGUCAGAGAUGGGUGUGCGUCUGAUUAGCUAGUUGGURRGGUAACGGCYUACCAAGGCGAUGAUCAGUAGGGGGCGUGAGAGCGUGGUCCCCCACACGGGUACUGAGACACGGACCCGACUCCUACGGGAGGCAGCAGUAAGGAAUAUUGGACAAUGGCCGCAAGGCUGAUCCAGCCAUCCAGCGUGCAGGAAGAAGGCCCUAUGGGUUGUAAACUGCUUUUAUCAGGGAAGAAACCUSUGGAUUUACUCCGSAGCUGACGGUACCUGAAGAAUAAGCACCGGCUAACUCCGUGCCAGCAGCCGCGGUAAUACGGAGGGUGCGAGCGUUAUCCGGAAUUACUGGGUUUAAAGGGUGCGUAGGCGGCUAUGUAAGUCAGGAGUGAAAGUUUGCGGCUCAACCGUAAAAUUGCUUYUGAUACUGCAUSGCUAGAAUYAGGAUGAGGUCAGCGGAAUGUGGCAU
rnacentral:rRNA from 1 species